UCGCUGGUGGCUUAGAUGGUAAAGCAUCUGCCUGCAAUGCAGGAGACCCGAGUUCAAUCCCUGGGUUGGGAA
rnacentral:tRNA from 1 species